GAUGAACGCUGGCGGCGUGCUUAACACAUGCAAGUCGAACGAAGCACUUUAUUACGAUUUCUUCGGGAAUGAAGAUUCUGUGACUGAGUGGCGGACGGGUGAGUAACGCGUAUGCAACCUGCCCGCACCAGGGGGGAUAACCGGGAGAAAUCCCGUCUAAUACCGCAUGACAUAUGAUUGUCGCAUGGCAGACAUAUCAAAGAUUUAUCGCUUGAAGAUGGACUCGCGUCCGAUUAGUUAGUUGGUGAGGUAACGGCCCGACCAAGACCGCGAUCGGUAGCCGGACUGAGAGGUUGAACGGCCACAUUGGGACUGAGACACGGCCCAGACUCCUACGGGAGGCAGCAGUGGGGGAUAUUGCGCAAUGGGGGGCAACCCUGACGCAGCAACGCCGCGUGAAGGAUGAAGGUUUUCGGAUUGUAAACUUCUUUUAUUAAGGACGAAUAAUGACGGUACUUAAUGUAAUAAGCUCCGGCUAACUACGUGCCAGCAGCCGCGGU
rnacentral:rRNA from 1 species